UGAAGCAUGGUGUAAUGGUAACACUAUAGAUUUUGGUUCUAUCAUUCUUGGUUCGAAUCCAGGUGCUUCAA
rnacentral:tRNA from 1 species